GGGAAAUUAGGGUUCAAGUUGGUGCUUUCAAUCACUCUGAACUCUCUCUUCUCACUUUUGCAAACGCAAACGACACACUCCCUCCUUCUCUUUAUUUUCCUAUCGCCGCCGUCACCAGAGAACAACAAGGUUAUUGCCGAGGGUUUGUGGCUGGACCAAAAUACAAUAAGGUGUCAUAUGUCUAACCUCAUUUGACAGUUCAGAUUUCUUGUUCCAAACCCUAAAAUCACCACUCCCACUACCACAACAACAAAACUAUCUUCUUUGUCCAACGUUGUCCUCAAACGCCUCCACAACCGGCCACCACCACCACCUUAACAAACCACCAUCUCAACCACCACCAUCGCAACACCAACAGCCUUGUAACAAACACUUACAAAGAAUGUCUCAAGAACCACGCAGCAAAUCUAGAUGGUCAUGCCCUCGACGGCUCCGGCGAAUUCAUGACAUCCCCCACCGCAACAUCCGCCGACCCAACAUGUGUUGCUUCAAAUCCCUAACCGUCAAAGCAACCACCACCACCACCACGAAUCUGAACAGGCUGUGGAAGUGAUUGAUGAAGUGUAUUGCCUGGUCUUGUUGGUUCCUGAAAAUCAGUAGGUUCUAACAUCAAGAAUAUGACAUGAAUAUGCAUUGUUGAGUCACAAGGUAAUACUUUUCAGGAUCUUCUUGUUCUUCGGCGGUUCAACGUUUGAUUCAGCUUCAGCUUCAGCUUCUCAGAUUUGAUUUGUUUCAGUAACGAUACGGUACGAUUCAAUCUCUCCUUCGCAGUAACGAUACGGUACGAUUCGCAGAACCGCUUCUCAAAAACACUUCUAACUCAUUUAGGGUUUUCUCAGCAACACUUCUCAGUCUCACACGAAGCUCAAUCUUCAUUUAAUUUGGUGUAAGCGGUUAAUCUCAUUUGAUCUAGGGUUUUUGUGUAAUCUCCAUAUGAUUAAUAUCUUCUCAUUUCUUUCUCUUCACGGAAUUUCAAGGGACCGCUUCAAGAAAUAACUUCAAGGAUUCCAGUUGUCAUUCUCUUCAUGAAAUAGCUUUAAGGAGUAUUCCAAUUUUUGCUCUUAAUAGAACUGCAGUUUCACUUUUUCAUCAAAAUCAUCAGGAGCUUGAUAGGUUGAAAUCCCAGGUAUAUGUCAUCUCUGUCCUUUUUGAACCAAAUUAGGAAAUCUUUCUAUAUGGUUGUGAAAAACUAUUUUUCAUAUAUACUGUCUAAUUCAUGUGUCACUUUUUAUAAAUUAUUUUUGGGCCAUAUCUCAAUUAUACUUAGUUUUUCCCAAUCAUAUCAUUCCUUUAAGUUGAGUUGUUUAACCAUGUGAUUUUUUUUAUCCUUAGCUUUGUAGAUUCAUCUAUAUUUGAAAAACAAAAACGAAAGUAAGAGGGUUUGAGAAGUAAACUAAAAUGGUUUGGUCCCUGUUGUCUUUUUGACGUGAUUUGCAUAUCUGUGAUUAAGUGAUUCAUGUAUUAGGACUAACAAUGGUGUUUAUUCCAAAAUCUCACCUGUGAAGAGUAUUUGGGGUGAAUUUAGAAAUGAUUUGAAUUUUGAAAUAUUUAUAUGCCUUAUAUUUUAAGAGUGGUGUUUGAGAUGAAUUCAUGGAAAAGUGUUUUUUAAAAUUAAAUUUAUGAGAAUAGUCGGAUAAAUUGUUAUUUUAAAGAUAGUGCACAUCUUCUUGAUAGCGCUUGUAAUCACGCUCAAUGUCGGGGUCAUUUUUACUUUACUUGCAUUGUGUGUCUUGUGUUGCUGAGCUGCUGUUGUAUUUAGAUAGAGCAUUUGUUUUAUUGUUUUGCUUGGCACAUUUCAUGCAAUUCUGAUAGUGUAUGUUAUGUCCAUCUAUUUUCAUCCUUUUGAUUUGUAAAUGACUGUGACAUAUCACUAUUGAAGAUGCAUGCACAUGAUUUUUUUAUUGUAUAAGAUUGAGUCACCCAUUCCUUCACGUAUAAGCCAAUAAUUAGUUUACACAAGGUAGCAAGUUCAUUCUUGGCUUUUUCGAUUUUCUAUUGUAAAGACAAAAAAAACAAAAGUGGAUGAGGCAAAGCUCAAACAUGAGACUGUAAUCACAACAAAAGAAGUAGUUAGAUUAGUAAAGGGAUCCAUGUUAAUGCCUCACAAGUUGAAAUUUCACUUUGCAAUGGAUGUAGUUCCUUUUGAUUUUAAAAUUUAUACUAUGUGUAGUUGCUGUAUUGUAAUAUGUGUGUGUGUGAACUCACUACCUAUGCCUUAUUGAUGAAUUAAACAUGUCGUGUAUCCCUACAUUUUACCAUACUCAUAUCAUACCGUGUAUUUUUGGUUUGUUGAAUAAGAAAAAGGGGAAUGAAUAUGAUAAUAUAUGCAAUCAAUGAAUUUGUUAGUGGAGUUGAAGAUUUUGUCAAUAAAGCCAUUAAUCGACCAGAAUUUUUAAACGAGGGAGGGAUAAGGUGUCCUUGUAUAAAAUGCAUCUGCAUUCCCUUCAAGACGCCUAGUGAGGUGCUAUGAGAUUGACUGGAGAUCAAGGAUUAUAGCUGUGAAGGAAUCAUAUGUAGUUUUGGAUAAACCUGCUGGCACUUCAAUAUGUAAUCAAUCUUACACUAUGUGCCUUUAAAUAGUUCUUAAAUAUUUCAGGGUUGUAAUUAGAAUGCCAAUAGAUAUUCUAUAUAAACGUAUCAAAUUUAUAAUGGGUCACAUACUAGUACAUUAUAAUUGUGAUUAUUUUUAUUUAUUGUA